CUCCUACGGGAGGCAGCAGUGGGGAAUAUUGCACAAUGGGGGAAACCCUGAUGCAGCCAUGCCGCGUGUGUGAAGAAGGCCUUCGGGUUGUAAAGCACUUUCAGUAGGGAGGAAGGUAGUGUAGUUAACACCUGCACUAUUUGACGUUACCUACAGAAGAAGCACCGGCUAACUCCGUGCCAGCAGCCGCGGUAAUACGGAGGGUGCGAGCGUUAAUCGGAAUUACUGGGCGUAAAGCGCAUGCAGGCGGCCUGUUAAGUCAGAUGUGAAAGCCCGGGGCUUAACCUCGGAAUUGCAUUUGAAACUGGCAGGCUAGAGUCUUGUAGAGGGGGUAGAAUUUCAGGUGUAGCGGUGAAAUGCGUAGAGAUCUGAAGGAAUACCAGUGGCGAAGGCGGCCCCCUGGACAAAGACUGACGCUCAGAUGCGAAAGCGUGGGGAGCAAACAGGAUUAGAUACCCUGGUAG
rnacentral:rRNA from 1 species